UAUUCCCCACUGCUGCCUCCCGUAGGAGUCUGGGCCGUGUCUCAGUCCCAAUGUGGCCGUCCAACCUCUCAGUCCGGCUACUGAUCGUUGCCUUGGUGAGCCGUUACCUCACCAACCAGCUAAUCAGACGCGAGCUCAUCCUUAAGCGAUAAAUCUUUUAUAGCUGUAUCAUGCGAUACUACUAUCUUAUGCGGUAUUAUCAGUCGUUUCCAACUGCUAUCCCCCUCUUAAGGGCAGAUUGCUCACGUGUUACUCACCCGUCCGCCACUAAGUUAUUCAAAGCAAGCUCCGAAUAACCCCGUUCGACUUGCAUGUGUUAAGCGUGCCGCCAGCGUUCACCUGAGCCAA
rnacentral:rRNA from 1 species